rnacentral:tRNA from 2 species
GGCCUUAUCGUCUAAUAGUCAGGACACAAGCUUCUCAAGCUUGGAAUCCGAGUGCGAUUCUCGGUAAGGUCACCA